CCUGCAACUUGGAAGAAUGUAUAGCAAUAGCUAAUUGCAUUGAUAAAUAAUUGGUGUAAAAUCGACUAUGUCGAAUAAAGUUCUAGGUAAAAUUAUGAUAAUGACAUUAUUUAUCUAUGUGUCUUGGCCAAAUUACGUGCCAGCAGCCGCGGUAAUACGUAGUAGACUUGUGUUAUUCAUCUUUAAUAGGUUUAAAGGGUACCUAGACGGUAAAUAAAGCCUGCAAAGGGGACUAGUAUACUAGAGUUUAAUAUGAGGAAGUAUGAAAGUACUGUUGGUGUAGAGAUGGAAUUCAAUGAUACUAAACAUGGCACAGGUAUAGGCGAAAGCAUCUUCUUAUGUAAUAACUGACGUUGAAGGACGAAGGAA
rnacentral:rRNA from 1 species